rnacentral:rRNA from 1 species
GACGAACCGUACUAACGUUAUUCGGAAUCACUGGGCUUAAAGGGUGCGUAGGCGGCUCAGAAAGUUGGGUGUGAAAUCCCUCGGCUCAACCGAGGAAUUGCGCCCAAAACUACUGGGCUUGAGGGAGACAGAGGUGAGCGGAACUUAGGGUGGAGCGGUGAAAUGCGUUGAUAUCCUAAGGAACACCAGGAGCGAAAGCGGCUCACUGGGUCUCUUCUGACGCUGAGGCACGAAAGCUAGGGGAG